CCACUCCAAUUUCCCCAAUUAACAACCAUUCAUUCUAACUAAUUUCCCCAAUUUUUAUACAAAAUUGAAAAAUACAAAUUCGAAAUUUCGCCGGAGUCAUCUGCUGCGCCGAUCUCCUGAGCGUCGGAGAUUGCUCUGAGAAGUCGAGGGGCGGCGGAGAUCUGAUUAUAUUCAGAACUAGAUCUGAUUAUAAGUCGAUGGUGCGCAUGGCGGCGUCCUUCGCCGGCGGAUCGAGAUGGUUCUGUCAAGCCAUCUAUGACGCCACCGCCAAGGUCAGCGUCGCCGACGCCGUCGCCGUCUUCCUCCACUCAUCUCCCGCCGAAGCUUGGGACUGUGAGUCGCCGUCAGCUUCGACGCCACCACCGCCGCGCAGCUACUGGCGAGAGAGAGAGAGAACAGAGCGACCGAGAGAGAGAGACGGAGAGGAGAGAGUGAAAUGUGGGUAUUUUUUUAACUUUUAUCUUAGGGGCAAUUUAGUCAUUUAAUAUAAAAAGUGGGUAUUUUUAAAGUUUUUAUUUGAGUGGAUAAAUUUUAAUUUUGUUAUAUGAAAGUGGGUAGUUU
rnacentral:lncRNA from 1 species